UUCCCAGGGAUCAGUGAAUUUUAACUUUGGAGUCCUCUUUGCUAAGGAUGCUCAGCUUACAGAUGAUGAAAUGUUCAGUAAUGUAUUUGCUGCAGCUCUGCUUACCCAAGCUUUGGGUUCCUUCUGUCCCACUGGGAGUUGCCCAAUUUGGUUGCAUCUGGUGAAAUUCACCCUGAGACCUUACAGAACCAGCUCCAACUACGUGAGAGCCAUUUGCAGUUCUCUCCAGACACCUGGAGAAUGGGCAACGUUUCUGAGGAUCCGGCGAGCGUGCUUCUGUCAAAACUCAGUCUGUGAAAUUCCUGGGGAAAACCCUUCUGUGUCCUGAAGGGUUCAAACUCUGGUGAGGAUCCAGUUAUCAGGUGCUCACCUGGAUGGUUCCUGCUCCCAAAGGGAAAGACUCUCGUAUCCUUGUCGUCGGGCUCAGUGCUGUCCAAGAAGAUACAGAGACUACAAAAACCAUAAGAAGCAAAAUACGACUGCAGGGAAAAGAAGCUGGAGAGAACAGAAGAGCCCAGAACACGAUUUCCUCGGGCUGCCAUUUGUGUGCCAUCGGUACUCACCGUGGAAGGGAGCUGGGGAUUGUUGCAGCUGUUGGGAACAAACCGCUUCUCGUCACACAGAAAUGGAAUUGGGACGACGCCUCGGCCAGCCCCUCUCUGCCAUCGUCUCCUGAAUCUGCAGCAGAGCAGUUCCAGUCCAUCCAGGCAUGUGUAAUCCAGUUCCUGAUGAUCUGAGCACACAGAGAAGCACUCAGCUGCUGUGGGGGGCUCACGGAAGGCAGAGUGUGCAUUGUCAUCUUCCUGAACCUACAGACAAAUCAAAGUGAGAAGCCACAGCGUGGAAAUCAGUCGCAUAUAUGCUAAAUAAAACUUGCAGAUUUUUUUAAGAA